ensembl:lncRNA
CACCAUGGCCACGCUGCUGCCGUCAAUGACCACUCUGCGCAAUUCCUGGUUCCCAGGUUCUCCUGAUAAGUUCAGCUCAAAGGGUGUGUUCAGGGCCUCAUGGUACCUCUGGAAGCUGGUCACUGUGCUGUUCACCUGUGGGUGGCGAGGUGACUGCCUCGGGCCCCCCUCCCAACCCCCCAAGAGCUGGUGCUUACUGCUGGACUGGACACCCUGCCUUCCAGGUUCCACCUGGCCCUUUGGUAAGGAGGCAUCACCCUUUGAUGAAGGUUGGACUUCACUCAAAAGUCUGGCUACAUCCAAGGUCGGCCCUGUACCUGUGGGCACUUUCUGGACUGCAGGUGUUUGGGGAGCUCUGGAGGCUUUAGAAGCUGCAGGUGCUUUGGGAGCUGCAGAUGUUUUAGGAGCUGCUGAUGCUUUGGGAGCUGCAGACUCCAUUUUAGUCACGGGCCCAGUUUGAGCUUUGAGUGUUUUGGGACUUGCAGGUGAUGUUUUGGUUGCCAGCAUCUUCUGUGCCAUGGCAGUUUUUGGAGUUGUAGACAUCACUUGAGCUGCUGAUGCCAAUGCUGGUUGAUCCACAGCAGCUUUUUGAGCUGUGGACACCACUUGAGCAGUAGGCAUUGUUGGAGCCAAAGGCACUUUGGGAGCUGCAGGCUGCCCUUGAGUUAGGGGUGGGUUUUCAGCUUUGGGCACUACUGCAGCCACGGGCACUUUGAGAGUUUCAGGCACUGUUCCAGCUUCAGGUGCUGACUGGGCUGUCAGCCCACCUUGAGCCAUGGGCCUUCCUUGAGCUGUGAGCACCCCCUGUUCUGUGGGUGAUGCUGGAUAGGGCCCCUUUUCCAGCCACAUACAAUCUGGCUGCAGACUUCCUUGGUUCCUGCGCUCACCUCCAGCUUGUAGUUGUGUGGUAGAGGCCAAAAGUGGAAGUCUUGGGCUAACUUUGUCCUUUUCACCUGAGCCUCCUGGGACCACCAAUAAACUCAUGACUUUUGGGGGUGUCUCUGGCCUUGGGCAAUUCUGUAGAGUUGUCUCUGUAGAUUUGUAGACCAGUUCCCCAUCUGGCCUACAAGCUGGGCUUUCUGCACUAGGCAAAGGAGCCAGCUCCUUCUGCUUCCACUCUAGAUUUAAGGGCAAAGCACUCUGCCCUGGCAGCUUUAGCUGAAUGGGGCCCAGCGGCCUCUGCCAGAAUGGGAGACUAAAGCAUGCCUGGGACAGGAGCCAGGCCAGGUGCAGAGAAUGCAGUUGAUUGAUCCUCCAGAAGGCUGCAGCAAUAGUCCCUGGCCACAAGGGCCCAAAGGCUGGCCCUGGGGCCCAGGCCUUCCAGGAUGGAUACACACCCAGGGCUGACACCGGAGGCUGGAAGGGGAAUUUCUCUUCUACCUUCUGGACCUGCUUUUGUUGCAGCAAGGCUGGUGUGUGGUUCACAGAGUCCUGGCUGCUGGUUGCUCGUACCAGCCCUUCCUCUCGAUCACUGUCCCAUUACCACUUUGAUUGUUGGAACCGACCCUAGAGGAAGCCCAAGUUUGUUGAAAAGGUAGGAAGGCCAGUUUUUCCCAAACUACUACCAUUUCAUGGGGUAUAGGGGCAAGGGAGGGUUGGACAAGCCAGGCUCAUUGCCCAGAACUUACCGAACCACCUGGUUUGCUGUCUCCUGCUGUGUGCUCUGGGCUGGGAUCAGGGACCUGGUGGCUCCCAGGCUGCUUAAUCUCUUUGGAUUUUCUGGGCCCCCAUUCUGGAGGGUCCCCAUCUCAAGGAAGGACCCAGGACUCUCUCCCGUGGACACCAUGGCUGAGUCUUCCUUUUGCUGCUGGGGAGGGCUUCUCAGGGCCACUGGUGAGCAGGUGUUGGAGAUGCCGAAGUGGCUGAGCCACUCAAUGAUGUCCUCCUUGCCUGCCGCAUCGAGCGCGCACCAAGCUCAGCAGCAGCUCCUGAACAGCUGGGGGCAGCUGCAGCAGAUCCCCUGCAUACUGGUCACCACGGAUCCACACCAGGGCCCCAAAGGCCCGGGUCACCUCAGCCUCCCAGAUCCCCGGGGGGGUCAGCAGAGGGGCAGGGCCCCAGCGCAGGCGUGCCACCAACUCCUCCAGCCAGUUCUGGGUCAUGGUGAAAGACUCGGUGAGCCCGCCUACCAUCAGGGAGCCAGGAGGGCCAGGCACCAGAUAGGCCAGGGUACUCCAGCAGAGGCAAUCCAAAAAGAGGCCCUGGGCGCCAAGGAAGGCACAGUGCAGCAUCGGCGGGUAGCGGACCUCCUUCCACAGCUCUGGGCUGCACAGGCCCUUCAGAUACUCCUGGGCACAUGGGGGGAGUCCAAGGAAGCUAGUCUGUCACAGGCUGCCACUGGCUCUGUCCCACCUCCCACCAGCCACCCCCUUACUGAGCAUGCGCCUCCCUGUUCAUUCAACCAGGGCAGCCACUCUCUCCACAUCCUGCCCCUUCACACACUCAUUUCUUUCCAGGAAAUGUAGAUGGAAUGGAGAAAUCUGAGGAAGAGGUAGGAAAAGACUCAGGCUUGAAGUCAAGGACACCUAAUUCUACUUCCUACUUAGCCAACGCUGAUUAGAAUUGUAGGAAAUCUUCUCAGGGCCUCUGUCGCUUCACCUAUAAAAUGGCAGGUUAAACUAGACACUCAUGGCUCCAGUCCCGCCCUGGCAUUCCAGAAUUGUAUGACAGUUAGAGGGAAAGGAGCCACACACUACUGAGUACUCUCCGGGAGAAAGAACUUUAGCAGCCUACCCUUGGGGCAAAUUAUUUAUCCCCUGUGCCUGUGGGGGUUUCCCUAUAGGUCAAAUGGGGAUAAUAAUAACUCCUGCCUCACUGGGCUACUGGAAGCAUUAGCAAGCUAAUACCUAAGAAGUGUUCAGGGUGGUGCCUGGCUCAGCCUAUUCCCAUUUUGCAGCUCAGAAGGGCUGCGUAAGCUUUGCCCGAGGACACACACAGGCUGUAAGUGGCUGGGCCAAAAUCACAGCCCAGAUUCUGUGUGAAUCUAAAACCAGAGACCUUUCAUCUCCUCUGGCUGACUGUACAGUGCCCACCUGGUAAUCCUGUGGGAUUCUGGCUUAAUCUCCUCCAGAAGAUCUCUAGCACAACCUGUACCUGUAACUGUAGUAACUCUGUUGCCCAGAAGAGACAGAGGAGGAAAUAAGGUGCUGGGCUCAUGUCCAGGGAAACACCCCACAGAUACACACAAUGUCUAACCGGAGAGAAGGCCUCUGGCUCCCUGGAUGAAUAGCUUUUCUGGGAGAGGUUGGGUUCCUCCACUCUCUGGCUGAGUCCCACCAGCACAGGCCCAUAGGCUCCAAGGAAGCAUGAGCAUUCCCUCUUAACCCACCAGCCCACGUAAACUGCAUCUGCCCUUGUGUCCCUCCACAUCCCAGUGUCUGUGACAAUCAUCCCUCUCCUCAUAG